CAGAAGUCAAGAAAGGAGGAUGAGAGACAGCAAAGGAACAGAAAAGGAUGAGAACUGAUAGCUGAUGUGGGAUGGAGACACGGUGCCAAAGGGCCCUGGAGGCUGGAGGUUGUGGCUGUGAUACAGAGCCGCCGGAGGGGAACCGGGCCAGUAGGAGAAACCCGACGGGCCCACACCGGGAGCCACGAGGUUCAGUUUGGAAAUCCCGGAGAAGGGAAUCGCGCCGAGCCACCUCGUCCGGGUCGAUGAGCUUGAACUCGCCGUUGGUGCCCUCCCAGGCGAUGCACGACAUGUUGGUGCUGUCAGAGAGGAGCUCCAGCAGGAACUGCCACAGCUGAAUCUGCCCACUGCCUGUGGAUUGGGGGCAAUGACCAUUGAUUUUAUGUCAAAAUAAAUAUAAACUGA